UGUUUAGGUCGCCAGUUGGACGACUAGCGACGGGCUGGCUACCGAGGAUGCAAAGUGAGAAACGACUCCGGGGAAAUACAUUCUGUGUGGAUCCAGACAGCGGAGCGGACAGUCAUGAGAGCAGACAGACCAGGAAGUGGCUCCCGAUACGUCACCCUCGACCAACCAAAACAGCGGACGCCGACUCCGCCCACUGCCCCCUCCGCCCCGCCCCCGGUGUGCCAGACCUCCAAGCGUCCACAGAGGAUGACAGACAGGCGGCUCAUAUUUCCAAAAAAGAAAACAAAUACUCGCAUGAGUUAUCAAAGAUGAAGACAGAAAUCUGUGCGCCGCAAAGGACAACUGAGACUUGAACCGGCACGUGGUUUGACAUGAGCUUAGCCAUCAAAGGCGGAGAACUCCUCAGCCUGCUGACAGAGGCCAGCCAAUGGGAACACUCCGCUCUGACAUUCUGAUAGGAAAGCCCAGACACAACCCGAAAGGACUGCAGCAGAGAAAGACAAAGCCCCUCCUCCAAAUGCUCAACAUUUAAUCUUGUGGAAUUAACCAGACAAACAUGAUCUGAGGGGGAGCCAAACAUUUCAUGACAGCACUGAAUCCAA